rnacentral:lncRNA from 1 species
UUGGGCCUUAGGUAGGGUUAAUCAAAAAUAUGGGCUCCUAAUAUUGCAUCUUGUGACCACAUAAAAUUAGGAUGAUUUUCUCACCCUGAGUUAUAGGUUGGUGCAUAAGGUUCAUUCUUAUCUCUUUCAUUGGCUGCACUCCCCUGUAUGAAUCCAUUUUAGAUUGGACUCAUCAGAAAAGGACACUCCUCCACAGCAUGAUCUGGUG